rnacentral:tRNA from 1 species
GGAAGUAUGGCUCAAAUGGUAGUGCACCAGUCUAAUAAGUAUAAGGCUCUGAGUUCAAACCCCAGUACUACCA